AGAUGCUCAGAUUUCCUCCAAUAGAUACUCAGGCACUUACUAGAUAAAGAUUCAAAACACUAUUUUAAAAGAAGAAUUUCGAACCAAACAGUAUGGAGUCAUGACACACAUGGAAGAUCAGAAUGACUACAGCAGCCAGAGUGAAGAUGACAGUCCCAAUGAAAGUUGGUCCUGG